rnacentral:misc_RNA from 1 species
GAUGAAGAACGUAGUGAAAUGCGAUAAGUAGUGUGAAUUGCAGAAUUCAGUGAAUCAUCGAAUCUUUGAACGCACAUUGCGCCCCUUGGUAUUCCGAGGGGCAUGCCUGUUCGAGCGUCAUUAUAACCCCUCAAGCUCAGCUUGGUGUUGGGGCCUGCUGCACUGGCAGCCCUUAAAAUCAGUGGCGGCGCCAUCUGGCUCUAAGCGUAGUAAUUCUUCUCGCUAUGGAGUCCUGGUGGAUGCUUGCCAUCAACCCCCAAUUUUUCUAUGGUUGACCUCGGAUCAGGUAGGGAUACCCGCUGAACUUAAGCAUAUCAAUAAGCGGAGGA